GGGGCUGUAGUCGGUCCCAAGGGUUGGGCUGUUCGCCCAUUAAAGCGGUACGCGAGCUGGGUUCAGAACGUCGUGAGACAGUUCGGUCCCUAUCCGUCGUGGGCGUAGGAAAUUUGAGAGGAGCUGUCCUUAGUACGAGAGGACCGGGAUGGACAUACCUCUGGUGUACCAGUUGUCGUGCCAACGGCAUAGCUGGGUAGCUAUGUGUGGACGGGAUAAGUGCUGAAAGCAUCUAAGCAUGAAGCCCCCCUCAAGAUGAGAUUUCCCAACUUCGGUUAUAAGAUCCCUCAAAGAUGAUGAGGUUAAUAGGUUCGAGGUGGAAGCAUGGUGACAUGUGGAGCUGACGAAUACUAAUCGAUCGAAGACUUAAUCAAAUU
rnacentral:rRNA from 1 species